rfam:Acidobacteria bacterium 13_1_40CM_65_14 13_1_40cm_scaffold_397, whole genome shotgun sequence.
GAAGUGGGUGCGAAGCCCACACGGUCCCGCCACUGUAAGCGGCUAGCGACACGUCAGCAGACGUCACUGGGAUGGGACGGUCUAAAGACCGUCCCCUACAACGCGUCGAUAUAAGACGCCGGUAGGCGACGGCCUUCAGGCCGUCGCGACUGGGAAGACAGACGUGCCGCGCUGAUCCGCGAGUCAGGAAA